UACGAAGGGGGCUAGCGUUGCUCGGAAUCACUGGGCGUAAAGCGCACGUAGGCGGAUUCCUAAGUCGGUGGUGAAAUCCUGGAGCUCAACUCCAGAACUGCCUCCGAUACUGAGAGUCUCCGAGUCCGGGAGAGGUGAGUGGAACUGCGAGUGUAGAGGUGAAAUUCGUAGAUAUUCGCAAGAACACCAGUGGCGAAGGCGGCUCACUGGCCCGGUACUGACGCUGAGACGCGAAAGCGUGGGGAGCGAACAGG
rnacentral:rRNA from 1 species